UGAAAGUUUUAUUCUUGCUUGAGUGUUCAUUAUUUCUUUGUAUUAUAUGCAAGUUUUGUUAUACUAAAUGUUCUAUUCAUGCAGUAAUUAAAUUUAAUUAUCAAGUGAUUUUGGAAUUAGCAAUUGAUUGAGUUUCGGCAUAAUUCGUGCCAGCAGUCGCGGUUAAACGAUUGAUGCAAGUGAAUAUUGUCGGUUUGAGUAGUUAUCUUAUAUUUUUAGGAAUAUAUUUUUAUAUUUGUAAGGUGAAAUUUAAAAUUUUUUUAUGGUUCUUUUUGAGAGGCUAUGAAACUUAAAUAAUAAACUAGGAUUAGAUACCCUAUUAUUUUAAGCGUUAAUUAGGUUUACCUGGGUAGUGUUAGUUAAGAUCUUUAAACCCAAAGAAUUUGGCGGUAUCUCAUUCCGUUCAGAGGAACCUGCCCCGUGAUUGAUAGUACACGAUUAACUCUACUUAAUUUAUUUGUUUGUAUAUCUCCGUUAUCAGAAGAUCUUCUUAGAGUUAUAAUUUUCUUAAUUUAUAAUUGUGAAGUAUUUCAGGUCAAGGUGCAGCUUGUAGUUAAGAGGAGGUGGGUUACAAUAAAUUUUUAUUUAUUUACGGAUUAACAUUGAAAUAUUGUUAAUGAAGGUGGAUUUGAUAGUAAUUUAAUUUAUUUUAUUUAUUUGACUAUUGGCUCUGAGGUGUGCACACAUCGCCCGUCACUCUCAUUAUUGAUUUUGAUUAAAUUUAUAUAGAAAUUGGUCAUUCAAGCUAAAAUGAGAUAAGUCGUAACAUAGUAGAUGUACUGGAAAGUGUAUCUAGUAAGAUUAU
rnacentral:ncRNA from 1 species